rnacentral:rRNA from 1 species
GAUGAACGCUGGCGGCGUGCCUAAUACAUGCAAGUCGAGCGAACAGACGAGGAGCUUGCUCCUCUGACGUUAGCGGCGGACGGGUGAGUAACACGUGGAUAACCUACCUAUAAGACUGGGAUAACUUCGGGAAACCGGAGCUAAUACCGGAUAAUAUAUUGAACCGCAUGGUUCAAUAGUGAAAGACGGUUUUGCUGUCACUUAUAGAUGGAUCCGCGCCGCAUUAGCUAGUUGGUAAGGUAACGGCUUACCAAGGCAACGAUGCGUAGCCGACCUGAGAGGGUGAUCGGCCACACUGGAACUGAGACACGGUCCAGACUCCUACGGGAGGCAGCACUAGGGAAUCUUCCGCAAAGGGCGAAAGCCUGACGGAGCAACGCCGCGUGAGUGAUGAAGGUCUUCGGAUCGUAAAACUCUGUUAUUAGGGAAGAACAAAUGUGUAAGUAACUAUGCACGUCUUGACGGUACCUAAUCAGAAAGCCACGGCUAACUACGUG